AUACAUAAAUACACACACACACACACACACACACACUAAAUUAACACUUUUCCAGUUGUUUGACUGAUUGUCAUUAUCCCCAUUAUUGAUAUUCACACACUUUAUUUGUGCACAGUGUGUUAUUAAAAUCCUUCAGAUUAUCUGAUUAAAACUGCUGGAUCUCAGAGGAUUAUUAUAAUCAAUAAUGUGAGAUGAAUAACACAUCAUCUAUAUAACCAUAGAGAUAACUGUAAAGUGAAUCUGAAUCUUCUGUCAGCUCCAGUAUUUCUCUGUAUAUUCACAUGUUUUAUUACAGUUUAAUGAUGUUAUUGUAGUUUCUGGUCAAUAAACGCUUGUUCCUUGUUCAGUGUGAACAUGUUUCUUCAGUGUUUGAUGUUUGACUGUUAUUUUCAUUCAUGAUAAACGUUUGUCACCCUGAGUUUCACUGUUUUUACACGUUUGCUUUUUAAUGUCCAGUUUUGACUGAAUCACUUUAUGAAUC